rnacentral:rRNA from 1 species
ACCUGGAUUAAUACCUGAUGUGGUCCUUCGGGAUCAAAGGCUUGCUGCCUCGGGAGCGGGGAACGUCCUAUCAGGUUGUUGGUGAGGUAACGGCUCACCAAGCCGGAGACGGGUAGCGGGUGUGAGAGCAUGACCCGCCGCAUCGGGACUGAGACACUGCCCGGACUCCUACGGGAGGCUGCAGUAACGAAUCUUCCGCAAUGCGCGAAAGCGUGACGGAGCAAUGCCGCGUGCAGGAUGAAGCCCCUCGGGGUGUAAACUGCUGUCAGGGUUUAGGAACACAAUGACCAGACCCAAAGGAAGGGCCGGCUAACUUCGUGCCAGCAGCCGCGGUAAUACGAAGGGCCCGAGCGUUACUCGGAAUCAUUGGGCUUAAAGCGUACGUAGGCGGGCGCGCAGGCACCUUGUGAAAUCCCUCGGCUCAACCGAGGAAUUGCUUGGUGAACCGCGUGCCUUGAGGCAAGUAGGGGCUGUCGGAACGAUAGGUGGAGCGGUGAAAUGCGUUGAUAUCUAUCGGAACGCCGAAGGAGAAAUCAGGCAGCUGGGCUUGUUCUGACGUUGAGGUACGAAAGCGUGGGGAGCGAACGGGAUUAGAUACCCCGGUAGUCCACGCCGUAAACGAUGUGCACUAGAUCGAGGGGACUCUGACGUCGCUCUCGGUCGAAGCAAAAGUGUUAAGUGCACCGCCUGGGGAGUACGGUCGCAAGGCUAAAACUCAAAGGAAUUGACGGGGGCUCACACAAGCGGUGGAGCAUGUGGCUUAAUUCGAAGCAACGCGAAGAACCUUAUCCUAGGUUUGACAUGCAUGGAUUAGCCCCGAGAAACCGGGGUGACGCGGCUUGCCGUGGAACAUGCACAGGUGCUGCAUGGCUGUCGUCAGCUCGUGCUGUGAAGUGUA